rnacentral:tRNA from 1 species
UAGGUCUGUCGCCAAGCGGUAAGGCAACGGGUUUUGAUCCCGUCAUACCUAGGUUCGAAUCCUAGCAGACGAAUCCA